GAUGAACGCUGGCGGCGUGCUUAACACAUGCAAGUCGAACGAUGAAAGCGGGAGCUUGCUCCUGCUGGAUUAGUGGCGAACGGGUGAGUAACACGUGAGUAACCUGCCCUUGACUCUGGGAUAAGCGUUGGAAACGACGUCUAAUACCGGAUACGACCUUCGGAGGCAUCUCCUGGGGGUGGAAAGAAUUUCGGUCAAGGAUGGACUCGCGGCCUAUCAGCUAGUUGGUGAGGUAAUGGCUCACCAAGGCGACGAUGGGUAGCCGGCCUGAGAGGGUGAACGGCCACACUGGGACUGAGACACGGCCCAGACUCCUACGGGAGGCAGCAGUAGGGAAUAUUGCGCAAUGGGCGGAAGCCUGACGCAGCGACGCCGCGUGAGCGAAGAAGGCCUUCGGGUCGUAAAGCUCUGUCCUUGGGGAAGAAGGCGAAAGCUUGACGGUACCCAAGAAGAAAGCCCCGGCUAACUACGUG
rnacentral:rRNA from 1 species